rnacentral:sRNA from 1 species
GAAGAUGGCGGCAGCCGAGGCCGCGAACUGCAUCAUGGAGGUGUCCUGUGGCCAGGCGGAAAGCAGCGAGAAGCCCAACGCUGAGGACAUGACAUCCAAAGAUUACUACUUUGAUUCCUACGCCCACUUUGGCAUCCACGAGGAGAUGCUGAAGGACGAGGUGCGCACCCUCACAUACCGCAACUCCAUGUUUCAUAACCGGCACCUCUUUAAGGACAAGGUGGUGCUGGACGUCGGCUCGGGCACCGGCAUCCUCUGCAUGUUUGCUGCCAAGGCCGGGGCCCGCAAGGUCAUCGGGAUCGAGUGUUCCAGUAUCUCUGAUUAUGCGGUGAAGAUCGUCAAAGCCAACAAGUUAGACCAUGUGGUGACCAUCAUCAAGGGGAAGGUGGAGGAGGUGGAGCUCCCGGUGGAGAAGGUGGACAUCAUCAUCAGCGAGUGGAUGGGCUACUGCCUCUUCUACGAGUCGAUGCUCAACACCGUGCUCUAUGCCCGGGACAAGUGGCUGGCGCCCGAUGGCCUCAUCUUCCCAGACCGGGCCACACUGUAUGUGACAGCCAUCGAGGACCGGCAGUACAAAGACUACAAGAUCCACUGUGAGCGCGGCCCGGGAGCUGGCGGGCGGGUCCCCGGGUGGGCUGCUGCGGGCUCACCCCCUCCCUGCCUGCCUCCCCAGGGUGGGAGAACGUAUAUGGCUUUGACAUGUCUUGCAUCAAAGAUGUGGCCAUUAAGGAGCCCCUAGUGGAUGUCGUGGACCCCAAACAGCUGGUCACCAACGCCUGC